rnacentral:rRNA from 1 species
CAGUCGCCGCGGGAACACGAAGGGUGCAAGCGUUAAUCGGAAUUACUGGGCGUAAAGCGUGCGUAGGCGGUGAGUUAAGUCUGCUGUGAAAUCCCCGGGCCCAACCUGGGAAUGGCAGUGGAUACUGGCUCGCUAGAGUGUGUCAGAGGAUGGUGGAAUUCCCGGUGUAGCGGUGAAAUGCGUAGAGAUCUGGAGGAAUACCGGUGGCGAAGGCGGCCCCCUGGACAAGACUGACGCUCAGGUGCGAAAGCGUGGGGGGCAAACAGGAUUAGAUACCCCAGUAGUCCCUGUCUCUUAUACA